rnacentral:lncRNA from 1 species
AGAGACUGUCCUAUUUCCUACCACACUGCACUGAGGCACGGUAAAGGAUGGUGAGAACGCCUGCCUAGUGAAUGGACGGGGCCUGCAGGCAGGUGAGGGAAGCCCCCAAGAGGCCGGGAACAAAAUAGAAACACUGAUCCAGGGAAGGGUGAGCCCUUGGAGCCGCUGGCUGUCCUGGGGGCAUCCUUGGAUCCUGCAGGGCACACCCGAGAAAACAGGACACUGGGUUACAGCACCCCUGUCCCCAUCCCCUCCCCCAGUACAUAAAAUGGGACUCAGGAAGGGUGAGCUUCAAGAAACCUCCUCGAAAACUGUCCUGUUCACUCCUGGCUCUGUGGGAAGCGGGGAAAGGGGAGGAAAAUCUCUUGAUAGUUUGACGUUAUUAAUGGGCCCUUAUGUGAGUCUAGGCCUGUAUUCAUGUCCUUGGUUAAGGCUGGAAAGUUACAAACUAAGUUUUCUAAUCUAAAAUCGCCCCAGGAUUGGUGUGUCCCUGGCACGUGGCAGGAGUAACCCCCAGUACUCUUUGAAGAGUAUGUUCUCAACCCAAGGCGCACACAAUUCCUACAGCUGGAGUUCUGAAGAAUGAGUCCAGAUUAAAAAUCACAAAACAGGCUGGGUGUGGUGGUGCACGCCUGUAGUCCCAGCUACUGGGGAGGCUUAGAUGGGAGGAUUGCUUGGGCCCAGGAGGUCAAGCCUGCAGUGAGCUAUGACUGCACCACUGCACUCCAGCCUGGGCAACAGACUGAGACUCUUUGUCUCCAAAAAAAUAAAAGAGCAUGGAAGUGGGGCACUGUGUAGAGCAGACUUAGCUGUUAUCUUGCCACCCUCCAGGCCUGUUAAGCGGGGCCACUUCUGUGCAGCAAGCGCCCUUAAGUCCUGGAGCCUUAGAAAGGUAGGGCUGACCGCCCCUGUCCACAGCCUGUCACCCCAUUAAUGUCAGAGACACUUCAUGUAAGUCCUGGAUUCCCCAGAGUCAGCUGUGGGGUCCGACAGACAUGCCAGAUGCCGUGAGCAGGGUGUGUGGUCCCUCCCCCAGCCAUCAUGUUAGCCCUACAGCCCAUCGGCAGCCUCUCCAUACAGAGUCACACCUGCAGAUCAGACAAAGUUGAAAACACAGGGACAGCUGGGUGCGGUGGCUCACGCCUGUAAUCCCAGCACUUUGGGAGGCCGAGGGGAGCAGGUCACAAGGUCAGGAGUUCGAGACCAUCCUGGCCAACAUAGAAGAAAGAAAACAGGAAUUGCAGAGCCAGGGAAUAGAGCUGGCAAGAGUGUUGGGUGCCAACUGGGCAGAGCCCCUCAGGGCAGCAGGGACUCAGGGGUGGGUGUCAGUACAGAGUCAGUGCCCCCAGCUGCCUCCUGACCCUUUUGUUCAGUGCUUGAGGCUGCCGUUUUAGGAGUCAUAGAGUAAAGAGAAGCUAUGGAAGGGCCUGGAUAAUCAGGACUGGGAUGAGGCAGGGUCAGGGCUGGAUUUGUCAUGUGGCUCUGCAGGCUCCCCUUACCCAAGUCUAAGCAUCGUCCCAUCUCUCUGAUCCUGUAAUCAAAACCUGUCCCCAAGGUAGCUUAGGUGUGUCACAGCCACGAGGGAAAACGUUGGGUACAGCCCACCCUCUGUCCCCAGCAGUGGCUCCCCAAGGGAGGGGAGGCUGGGACACUUCUGAUGCUGUUCCCUCCCAUCUCCUGCCAGGGAACCCCAGACCUUGGCUCAGAGGUAAGUGACUGGCCUGUGGUGCAGAAGGGCUUGGUCCCCAGACGGGGUGGCGGAG